GACAGAGGCCUCAAGCGUUAGGCGGAAUCACUGGGCUUAAAGCGUGUGUAGGCGGAUCGUUAAGUGCCUUGUGAAAUCCCACGGCUUAACUGUGGAACGGCUGGGCAUACUGGCGGUCUUGAGCCAUCUAGGGGCGACUGGAACAAACGGUGGAGCGGUGAAAUGCGUAGAUAUCGUUUGGAACGCCAAUGGUGAAAACAGGUCGCUGGGGAUGAGCUGACGCUGAGGCGCGAAGGCGUGGGGAGCGAACGGG
rnacentral:rRNA from 1 species